AUCAUGUGCUAUAUAGUCUAUCCUUAAGAGGAUUGUUCUGCUUCUGUUAUUUGUGAUGAAGGUCUUCAGAGAUGCCGUCAUGUGUUAUAUAGUCCUUAAGAGGUAUAUCCUUAAGAGGUUAGCUUGAGACCUUGUUUGUCAAAAGCAUGUUUUAUGACCUUAAAGAGUUGUGAUCUCAAGGUUACCUUGAAAGGGUUGCUUGCACUAAUACUUUCCAGAGGUUGCUGGUGGAAUUACGGUUUCCAAUAGAGUGCAUGCUACAGGCUGCGCGACAACCUUGUCAUGAAGGGCCAACGUCUGCGGUCGUUGCGCCGCCAGCCUCGAAAGCAGCCGUAUCACCGUGGCUUGCGUAUGAAGCUUUGAUAUGAGCUUUUUAAUAAGAGCUUUCUUGCUGCUUGCUGUGUUAGAAGGCGGCUAUGCUCACACAUGGAGUGUGUCAUGUUCACCUCUCACGAGUUUGAUGUACGCGUUGUUGCGCGUGCGGGGAACUUCACAGCCUACAGUGACGGAGCCAACUGUGAGUUUGUUCCAUGUAUUUGCUAUUUUAACAACGCCAAUCAUCAUUGUUAUAUUUAGCGGUUAGUUUGGAAUGCACCGCUCACGUAAGGUCUUACUUAGAACAUAAUACUUGCCUGAAAUGAAAUGUAUUGAUGGGUAAAGAUAUUUACAAGCAAAUAUUGGGUGGUGCUUUGUACACCGGUAAUUACCUGCCCGCCGCUAUAUGUCAUAUAUUUUACAUAAUUAAUUUGACUAAUAUAUAGUAUCGAUCAUGGCGGUAAAACAUGUAGUUUUCGUACCAUUGGCACCUUAAUAGUUUUAAAGCCUUACUGGCCGUGGAAUUGUUAAAAAAAAAAUGAUCUGACUUACUUGUACUAGGCUAGUCUGGUCAUGCAAUCUUGAGUUAGUUAUGUCAUACUCUGAUUCGACUAUAAAAUGAGACAAA